AGCUACAGAAUUAAAUGUGUUUGGAACCACAUGCACAUCGUGCUUUGACUACCUCACAAAGGAGCAGAAAGGCAAAUUCUGUUUCCAGUAAUGUGCAAAGUCAAGCCACAAGGACCUUCUCUGAGGCAAACGGAUGGACAAUGAAGCCGGUUCAGAGGCCCAGCCGAGACAAUGAUGCACAGGGAAACUCCCUCGAGCCCCAGCUGUCACCUAGUACUUCGAAGACACUGAGAGAAUGCAUGUUGCCUGGUGUGCAAGGAAAAUGGUGUGGAUUGUUCAUUCAUCAGCAGGAGAAUGUAACAUGCAUACAUUGGAUGCAACAGCAAAGGCAGAAGGCAUCUUUAAAAAUUCUGAAUUUGCCCUUUCACUAAAGACAGAUUUAUUUUUUUAAAAAAGUACCUCUGGAAUAACGUUAAAUUGUAAAAUGUGGCUCAACUUUUCAAAUACUUACCUAAUUAAUACACAUAGUUAGAUCAAGCCAAAGGGUAUAUUCUAAUAAUAUGACUCAAUAAAGCAACUUGAUAUGACUUCUUCUCUUCAAGUCCACACAAGUUUUAAGAAAUCCUACACCAACAGUUCUUCUCCCAUUUCUAAUUAUUUAACAUGUUAGGUCAGAAGCAAAUUGUUUUACCUUAAGAGUUUCAAGUGUACCAUCUUCUUUGGCAA
rnacentral:lncRNA from 1 species